GACGAACGCUGGCGGCGUGCUUAACACAUGCAAGUCGAACGGAAAGGCCCUGCUUUUGUGGGGUGCUCGAGUGGCGAACGGGUGAGUAACACGUGAGUAACCUGCCCUUGACUUUGGGAUAACUUCAGGAAACUGGGGCUAAUACCGGAUAGGAGCUCCUGCUGCAUGGUGGGGGUUGGAAAGUUUCGGCGGUUGGGGAUGGACUCGCGGCUUAUCAGCUUGUUGGUGGGGUAGUGGCUUACCAAGGCUUUGACGGGUAGCCGGCCUGAGAGGGUGACCGGCCACAUUGGGACUGGGAUACGGCCCGGAGUCCUACGGGAGGCAGCAGUGAGGAAUAUUGCACAAUGGGCGGAGGCCUGAUGCAGCAACGCCGCGUGCGGGAUGACGGCCGUCGGGUUGUAAACCGCUUUCGCCUGUGACGAAGCGUGAGUGACGGUAAUGGGUAAAGAAGCACCGGCUAACUACGUG
rnacentral:rRNA from 1 species